rnacentral:rRNA from 1 species
UACGUAGGGUGCGAGCGUUAAUCGGAAUUACUGGGCGUAAAGCGUGCGCAGGCGGUUUUGUAAGCCAGAUGUGAAAUCCCCGGGCUUAACCUGGGAAUGGCAUUUGGGACUGCAAGGCUUGAGUGCGGCAGAGGAGACUGGAAUUCCUGGUGUAGCAGUGAAAUGCGUAGAUAUCAGGAGGAACACCGAUGGCGAAGGCAGGUCUCUGGGCCUUACCUGACGCUGAGACGCGAAAGCGUGGGGAGCAAACAGG